GUUCCUUGCGUUUCUGUGAUAUACGGUCAGAAGAACUCCUUGUUUAUUGAGCAAUCAUGGUGGUGUCGACGGCGCCAUCUCCACAUCGGGACUGCCCUACUGAAAUCCUCGAUGGAGAUGUUGUCCCUCCACUGCCUCCCUCACAUGCUGAAGCUGUGGUUUCUCCGUCGCUUCCCUCCUUGAUUGGAGCUGUUGUUUCGUCACCUUCCGCUUCAGCAAGGGCUCCGGCAACCUUGCCGCGCCCUUUCCUAUCCUCCAAGAACAAAGGGCAUGCAUCCAAGAACAAAGGGCAUGUGUCAACUGAUGAAGUCGAUGCAGCUGCAACACUUUGUUCCCUUGUCCCAAUGACCCAAGAUCCUCACCAAGGUUACUUAGGAGAAAAGCAAAGACUCGCAAAGAAGAGCCUGAGGUCACCGUUACUGGUGCCCAUAGUGGGAUCCCAGGGGUUAAUGUCGUGUUAUCUCAGGCAUCUCCAAGAUUAGGUGUGAAACGAUCAUCGCCAACACUGCCUCAGAUUCCUCGUCUUUCACAUAAAAGAAAAAGAAGGAAACUUAAAUCUGAAAUCUGGAAUGAUUAUGAUCCUGUGUAUGAUGGCAACAAAAUCAAGGAAGCACACUGUAAAUAUUGCAAGAGAG
rnacentral:rRNA from 1 species